rnacentral:rRNA from 1 species
UACGGGGGGAGCAAGCGUUGUUCGGAUUUACUGGGCGUAAAGGGCGCGUAGGCGGCCUUCUAAGUCGAACGUGAAAUCCCCGGGCUCAACCCGGGAACUGCGUCCGAUACUGGAAGGCUUGAAUCCGGGAGAGGGAUGUGGAAUUCCAGGUGUAGCGGUGAAAUGCGUAGAUAUCUGGAGGAACACCGGUGGCGAAGGCGACAUCCUGGACCGGUAUUGACGCUGAGGCGCGAAAGCCAGGGGAGCAAACGGG